CUUUCUCUGUCCUUCCCUCAGUCCACCUGUAGAGCUUCAGGAGCAGCUUCCAAGCUUCUCACAGGGGCAGGGCAACUCUGAAGUCUCCAGUGAGGGGGUGCCCAGCUCCAUGACCACCCCAGAUCCCAUCUCCUCAAAGUGCCUGCUCCUUCUCGGUCCCAUAGAAGAGGAGGACGGUGUCCUCACCCAUGCAGACGUCCCUCCGUCCAGGCAUGUCCAGUAGCAGCACUUUGCACGUUGUUGACUCCAAAUGAAUAUUAAACACAGAACCUCACCGAGGCCAGCCCUGCGGGGCAGGCAAUGAACCUACCCUCUUCAUGCCUGUUCAUUAUUAUAAUUAAUAUUGAGUUGGGGUUGGUGGUAACCUCGGCCUUGCUAGGUGUUUGGGCUGUCUCAGAAGCUUAUCCAGAUCAAUGACAGACAGCUUCGAAUUGAUAAACUCCCCGCCACCCAGACGAAUCAAUCGCAACACUGCCGUCACAACAAGCCCAAGAAAUCAAUCUGAUUUCAAGCGAGGUGGUAGCUCAGCGCUGGGCAAGCUGGUUUUAAUUUCCGUGUGGCUGAGGCUCAGUUUCCUGUGCACACAGGGGCAUCCCUCCCUUCCAGCUGGUGCUCCACUCUCAGGUGCUGGAGGCCUGUGGAAGGCUCAGGCGAAGGGGAGGGGUCAGCUGCAGAGCGGUCCAGGCGACCUUGAGGUAGUUACGAUUUUGAUACUUUUGAGCCCCCAGGCUCAGAAGCAGCUGACUCAGAUCCAAAG
rnacentral:lncRNA from 1 species